AUUGAACGCUGGCGGCAUGCCUUACACAUGCAAGUCGAACGGCAGCACGGAGCUUGCUCUGGUGGCGAGUGGCGAACGGGUGAGUAAUAUAUCGGAACGUACCCUAGAGUGGGGGAUAACGUAGCGAAAGUUACGCUAAUACCGCAUACGAUCUAAGGAUGAAAGUGGGGGAUCGCAAGACCUCAUGCUCGUGGAGCGGCCGAUAUCUGAUUAGCUAGUUGGUAGGGUAAAAGCCUACCAAGGCAUCGAUCAGUAGCUGGUCUGAGAGGACGACCAGCCACACUGGAACUGAGACACGGUCCAGACUCCUACGGGAGGCAGCAGUGGGGAAUUUUGGACAAUGGGCGAAAGCCUGAUCCAGCAAUGCCGCGUGAGUGAAGAAGGCCUUCGGGUUGUAAAGCUCUUUUGUCAGGGAAGAAACGGUGGGAGCUAAUAUCUCUUGCUAAUGACGGUACCUGAAGAAUAAGCACCGGCUAACUACGUGCCAGCAGCCGCGGUAAUACGUAGGGUGCAAGCGUUAAUCGGAAUUACUGGGCGUAAAGCGUGCGCAGGCGGUUUUGUAAGUCUGAUGUGAAAUCCCCGGGCUCAACCUGGGAAUUGCACUGGAGACUGCAAGGCUAGAAUCUGGCAGAGGGGGGUAGAAUUCCACGUGUAGCAGUGAAAUGCGUAGAUAUGUGGAGGAACACCGAUGGCGAAGGCAGCCCCCUGGGUCAAGAUUGACGCUCAUGCACGAAAGCGUGGGGAGCAAACAGGAUUAGAUACCCUGGUAGUCCACGCCCUAAACGAUGUCUACUAGUUGUCGGGUCUUAAUUGACUUGGUAACGCAGCUAACGCGUGAAGUAGACCGCCUGGGGAGUACGGUCGCAAGAUUAAAACUCAAAGGAAUUGACGGGGACCCGCACAAGCGGUGGAUGAUGUGGAUUAAUUCGAUGCAACGCGAAAAACCUUACCUACCCUUGACAUGGCUGGAAUCCUUGAGAGAUCAGGGAGUGCUCGAAAGAGAACCAGUACACAGGUGCUGCAUGGCUGUCGUCAGCUCGUGUCGUGAGAUGUUGGGUUAAGUCCCGCAACGAGCGCAACCCUUGUCAUUAGUUGCUACGAAAGGGCACUCUAAUGAGACUGCCGGUGACAAACCGGAGGAAGGUGGGGAUGACGUCAAGUCCUCAUGGCCCUUAUGGGUAGGGCUUCACACGUCAUACAAUGGUACAUACAGAGCGCCGCCAACCCGCGAGGGGGAGCUAAUCGCAGAAAGUGUAUCGUAGUCCGGAUUGUAGUCUGCAACUCGACUGCAUGAAGUUGGAAUCGCUAGUAAUCGCGGAUCAGCAUGUCGCGGUGAAUACGUUCCCGGGUCU
rnacentral:rRNA from 1 species